rnacentral:rRNA from 1 species
UGCAGCCGCGGUAAUUCCAGCUCCAAUAGCGUAUAUUAAAGUUGUUGCAGUUAAAAAGCUCGUAGUUGAAUUUCGGGGUUCUACCGUUGGUCGGGCUUUGUCUGUACUGGCGUGUAGAAUUUCUACCUUCUGGGGAACCAUCAUGUUAUUAAUUUAACGUGGUGGGAAACCAGGACCUUUACCUUGAAAAAAUUAGAGUGUUCAAAGCAGGCUUAUGUCUGAAUACAUUAGCAUGGAAUAAUAGAAUAGGACGGUGGUCCUGUUUUGUUGGUUUCUGAAUUACCGUAAUGAUUAAUAGGGAUAGUUGGGGGCAUUAGUAUUCAAUUGUCAGAGGUGAAAUUCUUGGAUUUAU